rnacentral:rRNA from 1 species
ACGCCUAAUACAUGCAAGUCGAACGAAGUAGCAAUACUUAGUGGCAGACGGGUGAGUAACAUGUAGGUAUCUACCCUUUGGCCUGGAAUAACACGAGGAAACUUGUGCUAAUACCGGAUAAGUCUUUACGGAGAAAGCUUUACGCACCAUUGGAUGAGCCUGCACUUGAUUAGUUUGUUGGUGGGGUAAUGGCCUACCAAGACAAUGAUCAAUAGCUGAUUUGAGAGGAUGAUCAGCCACAUUGGGACUGAGACACGGCCCAAACUCCUACGGGAGGCAGCAGUAGGGAAUCUUGCACAAUGGAGGAAACUCUGAUGCAGCGAUGCCGCGUGAGUGAAGAAGGCCCUUGGGUUGUAAAGCUCUUUCGUCGGGGAAGAAAAUGACUGUACCCGAAUAAGAAGGUCCGGCUAACUUCGUGCCAGCAGCCGCGGUAAUACGAAGGGACCUAGCGUAGUUCGGAAUUACUGGGCUUAAAGAGUUCGUAGGUGGUUAAAAAAGUUGGUGGUGAAAUCCCAGAGCUUAACUCUGGAACUGCCAUCAAAACUUUUUAGCUAGAGUAUGAUAGAGGAAAACAGAAUUUCUAGUGUAGAGGUGAAAUUCGUAGAUAUUAGAAAGAAUACCGAUUGCGAAGGCAGUUUUCUGGAUCAUUACUGACACUGAGGAACGAAAGCAUGGGUAGCGAAGAGGAUUAGAUACCCUCGUAGUCCAUGCCGUAAACGAUGUGUGUUAGACGUUGGAAAUUUAUUUUCAGUGUCGCAGCGAAAGCGAUAAACACACCGCCUGGG